rnacentral:rRNA from 1 species
UACGUAGGGGGCGAGCGUUGUCCGGAAUUAUUGGGCGUAAAGCGCGCGCAGGCGGUUUUUUAAGUCUGAUGUAUAAGUUCAAGGCUCAACCUUGGGACGCAUUGGAAACUGGGGGACUGGAGUGUAGGAGAGGAAAGUGGAAUUCCACGUGUAGCGGUGAAAUGCGUAGAGAUGUGGAGGAACACCAGUGGCGAAGGCGGGUCUCUGGGCCGAUACUGACGCUGAGGAGCGAAAGCGUGGGGAGCGAACAGG